rnacentral:rRNA from 1 species
GUGGGGAAUAUUGGACAAUGGGCGAAAGCCUGAUCCAGCCAUGCCGCGUGUGUGAAGAAGGUCUUCGGAUUGUAAAGCACUUUAAGUUGGGAGGAAGGGCAGUAAGUUAAUACCUUGCUGUUUUGACGUUACCGACAGAAUAAGCACCGGCUAACUUCGUGCCAGCAGCCGCGGUAAUACGAAGGGUGCAAGCGUUAAUCGGAAUUACUGGGCGUAAAGCGCGCGUAGGUGGUUUUGUAAGUUGGAGGUGAAAUCCCCGGGCUCAACCUGGGAACUGCAUCCAAAACUGCAUGACUAGAGUACGGUAGAGGGGAGUGGAAUUUCCUGUGUAGCGGUGAAAUGCGUAGAUAUAGGAAGGAACACCAGUGGCGAAGGCGACUACCUGGACUGAUACUGACACUGAGGUGCGAAAGCGUGGGGAGCAAACAGGAUUAGAUACCCCGGUAGUCC